rnacentral:ncRNA from 1 species
GUUGAUAGAGGCGCGUUUGCGCAAAAGUACGUUUGGUGUGCAGCCUACCGCAGGGCGUUGCCAAACGGAAAGGGCCAAACGCCGAAGACGGUCGCUUUGCGGACGGCCGAUCUGGCAAAGUAUACGAACAGUUGCUUUGCUGUCGCAUGAAUUUGCGGAGCGCUAUCU